AUUGAACGCUGGCGGCAGGCCUAACACAUGCAAGUCGAGCGGAUGAAGGGAGCUUUCUCCUGGAUUCAGCGGCGGACGGGUGAGUAAUGCCUAGGAAUCUGCCUGGUAGUGGGGGAUAACGUCCGGAAACGGGCGCUAAUACCGCAUACGUCCUGAGGGAGAAAGUGGGGGAUCUUCGGACCUCACGCUAUCAGAUGAGCCUAGGUCGGAUUAGCUAGUUGGUGGGGUAAAGGCCUACCAAGGCGACGAUCCGUAACUGGUCUGAGAGGAUGAUCAGUCACACUGGAACUGAGACACGGUCCAGACUCCUACGGGAGGCAGCAGUAGGGAAUAUUGGACAAUGGGCGAAAGCCUGAUCCAGCCAUGCCGCGUGUGUGAAGAAGGUCUUCGGAUUGUAAAGCACUUUAAGUUGGGAGGAAGGGCAGUAAGUUAAUACCUUGCUGUUUUGACGUUACCAACAGAAUAAGCACCGGCUAACUUCGUG
rnacentral:rRNA from 1 species